GAAGAAAACGAAAAGCGCAGUUUAUUUUGGAUUUUAAAGAGAGAAACUAAAAGGCUUAACUAGGAGAAAAAGAAAACAUUUGGAGGAUUCAAGUAUAUUGGGUACAACAAACAAAUAAGAGA